UGUUUUUAACUAUGUAUAACUUCAUUGUUAGACUGCUGUGUGACUUCAGUAUGAAGUCAUUUAUACCAAUCAAUGACUAAUAUUUUUUUGAUCAACGAAUGCUUUAGA